rnacentral:rRNA from 1 species
CCUACGGGUGGCAGCAGUGGGGAAUAUUGGGCAAUGGGCGCAAGCCUGACCCAGCAACGCCGCGUGCAGGAAGAAGGCCUUCGGGUUGUAAACUUCUUUUCUCAGGGACGAAGAAAGUGACGUUACCUGAGGAACAAGCCACGGCUAACUACGUGCCAGCCGCCGGCUUAAUACGUAGGUGGCAAGCGUUAUCCGGAUUUACUGGGUGUAAAGGGCGUGUAGGCGGGACUGCAAGUCAGAUGUGAAAUCCACGGGCUCAACCGGUGGACUGCAUUUGAAACUGGAGUUCUUGAGUACUGUAGAGGCAGACGGAAUUCCUGGUGUAGCGGUGAAAUGCGUAGAUAUUAGGAGGAACACCAGUGGCGAAGGCGGUCUGCUGGACAGCAACUGACGCUGAGGCGCGAAAGCGUGGGGAGCAAACAGGAUUAGAUACCCGGGUAGUC